CUUUAUUGGAGAGUUUGAUCCUGGCUCAGGACGAACGCUGGCGGCGUGCCUAAUACAUGCAAGUCGAGCGGAUUUCAGGAGAGCUUGCUCUCCUGAGAUUAGCGGCGGACGGGUGAGUAACACGUAGGCAACCUGCCUGUAUGAUCGGGAUAACUUCGGGAAACCGAAGCUAAUACCGAAUACGACAUUGGCCCGCAUGGGCUAAUGUGGAAAGACCUUGUGUCACGUACAGAUGGGCCUG
rnacentral:rRNA from 1 species